rnacentral:lncRNA from 12 species
CUUGCAAAUUGUCAGUGAGAGAAUGAGGAGAAGUGCUGUCCCUCUCCCUGGGGCUGACUUCACUUUGCACCAGUGUUCUCAUGUCCCAAGGAGAGCUGGAGAAACGUCAUCUGAGUGUUUCGUGGGGGCAAUGCUGCCCUCCAUUCCCAUUGUGGGAAGAGGAACUCUGGCUCGGCCGAAUGUCUUCUUGAUGUCUCCUGAUGGGGCAGCCCCCAAAGCCUGCAGUUCUUCCUUCUGGGGGUCAUUAAGUUCUAGAGGGCUGAUGUCAACAUUUUGUUACCUUGCUGAGAAGCCCAGCUUGAAGACUACGUUAAUUUACAUUUGCCUGUGUUCCAACCAUGCGUUCCAGCUCACGGCCUCAGGGCAGACACUGAGGUAGGCAUUUCCUGGAUGGAGGAGACCCCCUUCCUGGUAUGCAGGAGCUGGGUGUGCUUUCAGAGCUCUCUGGGAGAAGUUUCACAAGCUCACCUGGUAGGGUAAACCCACUUAGAACCAGAGAGCCAACCAUGGGAGGAAGAUCCUCCUUCCACCUGCCUUUCUCUCACCAUGAGGUGAUGGCAUUGUGAUGCAGACAGCAUGGUAUGGGCUCCCCAGUUUAAGGACUGCCCUUUCUCCAAGUUAAAAUCCUUUUCCAUGGGGAAUUGGACAAAUACGUCCAGACUAGAAUGUGGGGGAACAGGAUUCCUGCCAAAUUGGUCACAGGGAAAGCUCACUGGGCUUAGUCACUGUGAUACCCACCCAGGUCCAGGUGGAAGAGCCCUCCUGAGAAGGUGUGCAUGUUUCUAGGGCCUUGGCUCCUCACCUGUGAGCUUUGGGUGUACAUGGGUGACAAGGAAGGAUGCGGUGGGGUUAGGAGGUACGCUGUCGCCCAUGCCUGCCCCUCUCUCCAGCAUCCCAGCCUUGGUUUUGAUCACUAUUUGCCCUCUUUCCCGUCCCUCAAAUGUUGUCCUCAUGGUCUCAUCUCUUCUUCCCUAGCUUCUCUUCCUGCUUUUAGCGCCAGCAGCAUGGAUAGCUCCUUCCUUUGUACCUCCUGGUCUAGCUUUAUGAUUUUUAUUCUCAUCAUUUUUUUUCAUGUGUCCGCUUCUAUCUUUGAGCUGUGAGUUCCUUCCAGUGAGGCUCUGGGUCCUAUGUAACUCAGCAGACCCAGUGUUAGCACAGUGCUUGGGGCCCAGCGCGCUCACUGAAAAGGUGGAUGGAUUUAUAAAUAUGUCACUGCUUCCAUUCUUCAAGGCCCAUUUCACUUUUUAAAAAAAAUAAAAAAAGAUUCAUGUAUUUAUUUUAGAGAAAG